UACGUAGGGUGCAAGCGUUGUCCGGAAUUAUUGGGCGUAAAGAGCUCGUAGGUGGCCUGUCGCGUCGGCUGUGAAAACUCGGGGCUCAACUCCGAGCUUGCAGUCGAUACGGGCAGGCUAGAGUUCGGCAGGGGAGACUGGAAUUCCUGGUGUAGCGGUGAAAUGCGCAGAUAUCGGGAGGAACACCGGUGGCGAAGGCGGUUCUCUGGGCCUGUACUGACGCUGAGGUGCGAAAGCGUGGGGAGCAAACAGG
rnacentral:rRNA from 1 species